ACAAAUCAUCAUAGGUGCCGCAAGGCCCUAUAUACACCCCAAGCCUGGGAAGAGCUGCUGUUGUGGCUCGGAUCGGCUUUGGUUGCAGCCCUCGGGCUGUAGGUCGAGCUGCCGAAAGGUAGCUAGGCCACAUAGACGCUUGUAUGUUUGACAGAGUUUAGUUGCAUCAUAAAAAAUA
rnacentral:misc_RNA from 1 species